GACAAAACGUAGGUUUUUACUAUUUUAUUUUUACAUAGCCUGCAAUAUCCUCGCAAAAAAUUGAAACAAAUGGACGUUGGUGUUACUCGACAGGAAAAAAAUCGCAUCUGGGAACUGCACAAGAAGUAGAAUUUUGGGUUAUUUGAAAAAACAUCAUGAUGGUUGAUGCUAUUGCAGCCUAACAAGAAGAGGAAACGAUCAUUACUGAGGAAACAUAGAGAGGAGAAGGAGGGGGAUGCAAAUAAUACUAGUAAUGAGUCUAACAAGCUAUCUGCUGAUGUUAUAAGCUCUAUUUUUAUAAGAUGUUAAAGUGUGCAUCAAAGUCAUGGAAUGACUAUAUCACCGGUCCUUUCUUUGUUCAUUCUCACCUGCAACAUUCAACGGAAAGUGCCCAACUUCUUUUUCUGAAACCCAAGUUAACAAGGCGCAGGCGUAGACAUGGAAGGAAAGGGAGAAAGCAAUGAGUUAUACGCCGUCACUCUACCUGAAUUCAUUAUCUCCCGUUCCGGUAUGAUUGUUUAGUUUGCCUUUCAUCGGGUCAUGAUCGCUUUUAUUUGUGCAAUCCUGUCAUGCAACAAUUGCCCAAGUGUUUUUUUUUUUUUUUGGUAACACCGUAAAUAUUACCAUUGAUUAAACAAAAAAACCAGAAUUACAACCUAUACCUAAAAUCACCCCCACUUGGCAGUGAUUUAAAGCCUCCAACAGACCCAGCAACUAGUUACACAAUAUUCUAUGCAUAAUCCCGCUACAUCUAUGUAGCUUCUUAUACAAGUAGGGUAAAGUUAAUCUAUCAACUAUUUCCUUCUUUAUCUGUAUUACCACUCCCGCUGUAUGUACAUGUGAACCGUCAAAGAUUUUUCUAUUCCGAGCCAUCCAAGUAUGGUAUAUCAUGGCCCCCCAAACAGCAGCAACAACUUCCUUCUGCAUUUGCUUCCAAUGCUUCCUUUUUAUAUUGGUAAAAAUCUGCUUAACAGUACCUUGAUGCAAAUGAAUGCCCACCCAUUGUAACAGAAUCCCCCUAAUAGUUUUGAACCACACACACUCCGCAAACAAGUGUUGAGAAGUCUCCAAAGUUGCAGAAUUACACAAGCCGCAGGUUAAAUCAUCCACCGGAAUGUGCAACUUUAGCAAUCUAUCUUUUGUGAGCAAUCUUCCUUUAACUGCCAACCACAUAAUAAACCUAUGUUUAGGUUGUGCAACACUGCUCCAAAUCAGUUCAGCAGCAUCCAUUUUCCUUGCCCAAGUGUUCACCUACUGAUUUAUAUGUAUUUGGCAAUUUCGGGUUUGGAUAUCUUCAUUCAAAAAAGGAAUACAAAGUGGUGCAGUUUUCCUAUUGUAUUAUGCCCCUUAAGCUUUUUCAGCUAAGAUGUGAGGUGUUUACGCGCCGGUUUGUGACAGAUCGCCUCCCUGUCAUCCGUCCAGUCGAGGGGUGCUAGUGAAUGAAUGUUUGUAUUGGCUGGGUAAACCGAAAGUUACAGGCUGUCCUGAUCGAAUUUUAUCAUUCGAGUUUGAAAAUGAAAAGUUUCUAACUAUAUCUUACCCGUCUUCCUUAGGGACUCUUGACUACAUGAGUGUGAUGGAUUUGAAAGGGAUGCUUUGCGUGCCAAACUUGGAUCACUUUUACCAGAGUUCAAUUCUAGACCUGUGGAUACUUAAGGAUAAAACAAGUUCCAUUUGGGUGAAGAAGUAUAGCAUAAAUUUGGUCAAUUAUGCGUCCAAGUUUUUGUUGCCUAUCUUCAAGACAUGGAAUGAAGUACUAAUAUUUAUGUAUUCGGAUAAGGUGGUCUUCUAUGACCUAAAACGACAAUGCGUUAGAGAAUCGCGAUUUGGUUUUGGAAUUCCCCAAAGCCCCUACAUUUUUUAUCUUGGUUUUGGAAUUUACCGGAAAAGCUUGUUUUCAUUAGGAAGCACAUAGGUCCUUCCCUUUUAUUUAUGUUACAGGACAAACUAUUCUUAAUUCCUAAUGUUAGGAGAUAUUGCUUCCCUAUCUUAUUGCAUAUGAAGCAUCAUUGGUGAAUCGAAAAAUGAAAUGAUGAUUUAGAUCUCAUUAUUUGCAAUUAGUUGGGAAAUAUUGGUGGAUUCAGUUCCAUAGUUAAAACUCCCUUUUUCAUUCUCAUACCUUCUUGUAUUCAGUUUCAAAAUAUGAUGUAGACUGUUUAUUUUC